GACGAACGCUGGCGGCGUGCUUAACACAUGCAAGUCGAACGGAAAGGCCCUGCUUUUGUGGGGUGCUCGAGUGGCGAACGGGUGAGUAACACGUGAAUAACCUGCCCUUGACUUUGGGAUAACUUCAGGAAACUGGGGCUAAUACCGGAUAGGAGCUCCUGCUGCAUGGUGGGGGUUGGAAAGUUUGGGCGGUUGGGGAUGGACUCGCGGCUUAUCAGCUUGUUGGUGGGGUGGUGGCUUACCAAGGCUUUGACGGGUAGCCGGCCUGAGAGGGUGACCGGCCACAUUGGGACUGAGAUACGGCCCAGACUCCUACGGGAGGCAGCAGUGGGGAAUAUUGCACAAUGGGCGGAAGCCUGAUGCAGCAACGCCGUGUGCGGGAUGACGGCCUUCGGGUUGUAAACCGCUUUCGCCUGUGACGAAGCGUGAGUGACGGUAAUGGGUAAAGAAGCACCGGCUAACUACGUGCCAGCCGCCGCAGUAA
rnacentral:rRNA from 1 species